rnacentral:lncRNA from 1 species
GUGAUUUGCCCAGUGAUCUGCCCAGAUCAAGCCAAAGCAGAAACCUGGAGGCAACAGGCAGAAGUGAUAUGUGCAGUGAUUUGCCCAGGACACUCGAGGACACUGGCCAAAUCACUCGCAGAAGACAGAGAGAACUGACUGGCAGAAACGUGAUCAGGUCUGUGAUUUGCCCAAUCCCUUGAAGAAACUGGUCAAAUCGCCGGGCAAAUCACUUCGACAGCAGAAAAUACAGCAGAGCGGGAAAUUGUUCAGGAAACCGAAUUUCAAGUUUUCAGAAGUCCAAAUCCAACUCAAUCACUACCAAAACAAUUCCAAGAGCCACGAAAGAGUUUCUCACCUAAGGAAUUCCAGUUGCAAUUAAAUUCAACAUCAAAAGAGGAGUCACAAGCCAAAUUAAAAAGGGAAUUCAAAACCCUAGAAGGAUGAAACUCUUCAACUAUAAAAGGGCAACCUCCAAACCAGCAAAGGCAUCUUCUGCUGAGGAAUUGAACUCGCCAAAAACUCUCCAGCAUCUUCCUUUUUCUUUUCCUUUCAUCUUUUUGUGUAUUUAGUCCACCAUGAGUGGCUAAACUCUUUUCUUUUCUAGUUGAAGUUGAGAAUAUUCAGAUUUGNNNNN